rnacentral:rRNA from 1 species
UACGAAGGGGGCUAGCGUUGCUCGGAAUCACUGGGCGUAAAGCGCACGUAGGCGGCUUCUUAAGUCAGGGGUGAAAUCCUGGAGCUCAACUCCAGAACUGCCUUUGAUACUGGGGAGCUAGAGUCCGGGAGAGGUGAGUGGAACUGCGAGUGUAGAGGUGAAAUUCGUAGAUAUUCGGAAGAACACCAGUGGCGAAGGCGACUCGCUGGACAGACAUUGACGCUGAGGUGCGAAAGCUAGGGGAGCAAACGGGG